CUACGGGUGGCUCCAGUGGGGAAUAUUGCACAAUGGGCGCAAGCCUGAUGCAGCAACGCCGCGUGAGGGACGAAGGCCUUCGGGUUGUAAACCUCUUUUAGCAGGGAAGAAGCGAAAGUGACGGUACCUGCAGAAAAAGCACCGGCUAACUACGUGCCAGCAGCCGGGGUAAUACGUAGGGUGCAAGCGUUGUCCGGAAUUAUUGGGCGUAAAGAGCUCGUAGGCGGUUUGUCGCGUCUGCUGUGAAAACUGGAAGCUCAACUUCCAGCCUGCAGUGGGUACGGGCAGACUAGAGUGCGGUAGGGGAGAACGGAAUUCCUGGUGUAGCGGUGGAAUGCGCAGAUAUCAGGAGGAACACCGAUGGCGAAGGCAGUUCUCUGGGCCGUUACUGACGCUGAGGAGCGAAAGCGUGGGGAGCGAACAGGAUUAGAUACCCGAGUAGUC
rnacentral:rRNA from 1 species